UACGGGGGGGGCCAGCGUUGUUCGGAAUUACUGGGCGUAAAGGGCUCGUAGGUGGCCAACUAAGUCAGACGUGAAAUCCCUCAGCUUAACUGGGGAACGGCGUCUGAUACUGGAUGGCUUGAGUUUGGGAGAGGGAUGCGGAAUUCCAGGUGUAGCGGUGAAAUGCGUAGAUAUCUGGAGGAACACCGGUGGCGAAGGCGGCAUCCUGGACCAACACUGACACUGAGGAGCGAAAGCCAGGGGAGCAAACGGG
rnacentral:rRNA from 1 species